UACGUAGGGUGCGAGCGUUGUCCGGAAUUACUGGGCGUAAAGAGCUCGUAGGUGGUUUGUCGCGUUGUCCGUGAAAACUCACAACUCAAUUGUGGGCGUGCGGGCGAUACGGGCAGACUGGAGUACUGCAGGGGAGACUGGAAUUCCUGGUGUAGCGGUGGAAUGCGCAGAUAUCAGGAGGAACACCGAUGGCGAAGGCAGGGUCUCUGGGCAUUAACUGACGCUGAGGAGCGAAAAGCAUGGGGAGCGAACAGGG
rnacentral:rRNA from 1 species